rnacentral:rRNA from 1 species
UUUGAUCCUGGCUCAGGAUGAACGUUGGCGGUGUGCCUAAUACAUGCAAGUCGAACGGUGACUAUUUUGUGGCAAUACGAAUGAAAUCAUAGUGGCGAACGGGUGAGUAACGCGUUGGUGAUCUGCCUCGAAGUGUGGAAUAACUUCCCGAAAGGGUAGCUAAUACCGCAUAGUCUCUCAAGGUUUAAAAAAUUGAGAGUAAAGGAUUUAUUCGCUUCGAGAGGAGCCUGCGUCCCAUCAGCUAGUUGGUAGGGUAAUAGCCUACCAAGGCAAUGACGGGUAGGGGACCUGAGAGGGUGGCCCCCCACAAUGGAACUGAAACACGGUCCAUACACCUACGGGUGGCAGCAGUAGGGAAUAUUAGAAAAUGGGCGAAAGCCUGAUCUAGCAACACCGCGUGUGCGAUGAAGGCCUUCGGGUUGUAAAGCACUUUUUGGAGGGAAUAGGAAGGAAGGUACCUCCAGAAUAAGUCUCGGCUAACUACGUGCCAGCAGCCGCGGUAACACGUAGGAGGCAAACGUUAUCCGGAUUCACUGGGCGUAAAGCGCGUGUAGGUGGUUCUGUAAGUAGGGCGUGAAAGCUCCCGGCUCAACUGGGAGAGGCCGUACUAAACUGCAGAGCUAGAGGAUGGUAGAGGGAGGUGGAAUUCCAGGUGUAGUGGUGAAAUGCGCAGAUAUCUGGAGGAACACCAGUGGCGAAGGCGGCCUCCUGGACCAUUCCUGACACUCAGACGCGAAAGCUAGGGUAGCAAACGGAAUUAGAGACUCCGGUAGUCCUAGCCCUAAACGAUGCAGACUAGGCGUCGGCGGUUUAAUCACCGUCGGUGUCCAAGCUAACGCGAUAAGUCUGCCGCCUGAGGACUACGGCCGCAAGGCUAAAACUCAAAGGAAUUGACGGGUCCCCGCACAAGCAGCGGAGCGUGUGGUUUAAUUCGAUGCUCCGCGAAGAACCUUACCUGGGUUUGACAUAACAGUGGUAGAGAAGUGAAAACGGAUCGACCCUUCGGGGAGCUGUUACAGGUGUUGCAUGCCUGUCGUCAGCUCGUGUCGUGAGAUGUUCGGUUAAGUCCGCUAACGAGCGCAACCCGCGCUGUGUGUUACAAGUGUCACACAGUACCGCCGGUAUUAAGUCGGAGGAAGGUGCGGAUGACGUCAAGUCAGCAUGACCUUUAUAUCCAGGGCUACACACACGCUACAAUGGUCAGAACAAUAGGUUGCCAAGCCGCAAGGCGGAGCCAAUCCUCCAAAUCUGGCCUCAGUUCAGAUUGCAGGCUGCAACUCGCCUGCAUGAAGUCGGAGUUGCUAGUAACCGCAGGUCAGCAUACUGCGGUGAAUACGUUCCCGGGGAUUGUACACACCGCCCGUCAAG